rnacentral:rRNA from 1 species
GGGUGAGGUAACGCGUGGGAAUGUACCUUUUGGUUCGGAAUAACUACGGGAAACUGUGGAUAAUACCGGAUAAGCCCUUCGGGGAAAGAUUUAUCGCCAAAGAGCAGCCCGCGUUAGAUUAGGUAGUUGGUGGGGUAAUGGCCUACCAAGCCUUCGAUCUAUAGCUGGUCUGAGAGGAUGAUCAGCCACACUGGGACUGAGACACGGCCCAG